GACGAACCGUGCGAACGUUGUUCGGAAUCACUGGGCUUAAAGGGCGCGUAGGCGGCGCCGUCAGUCCGGGGUGAAAGCCCCCAGCUCAACUGGGGAAGGGCCUCGGAAACUGCGGCACUGGAGGAAGGUAGGGGAGAAUGGAAUUCCCGGUGUAGCGGUGAAAUGCGUAGAGAUCGGGAGGAACACCAGUGGCGAAGGCGGCUACCUGGACCAGCACUGACACUGAGGCACGAAAGCGUGGGGAGCAAACAGG
rnacentral:rRNA from 1 species